rnacentral:rRNA from 2 species
ACACACGUGCUACAAUGGUCGGUACAAAGGGUUGCCAAGCCGCGAGGUGGAGCUAAUCCCAUAAAACCGAUCGUAGUCCGGAUCGCAGUCUGCAACUCGACUGCGUGAAGUCGGAAUCGCUAGUAAUCGUGAAUCAGAAUGUCACGGUGAAUACGUUCCCGGGCCUUGUACACACCGCCCGUCACACCAUGGGAGUGGGUUGCUCCAGAAGUAGCUAGUCUAACCUUCGGGGGGACGGUUACCACGGAGUGAUUCAUGACUGGGGUGAAGUCGUAACAAGGUAGCCGUAGGGGAACCUGCGGUUGG